GUUGAACGCUGGCGGCAGGCCUAACACAUGCAAGUCGAGCGGAUGAAGGGAGCUUGCUCCUGGAUUCAGCGGCGGACGGGUGAGUAAUGCCUAGGAAUCUGCCUGGUAGUGGGGGAUAACGUCCGGAAACGGGCGCUAAUACCGCAUACGUCCUGAGGGAGAAAGUGGGGGAUCUUCGGACCUCACGCUAUCAGAUGAGCCUAGGUCGGAUUAGCUAGUUGGUGGGGUAAAGGCCUACCAAGGCGACGAUCCGUAACUGGUCUGAGAGGAUGAUCAGUCACACUGGAACUGAGACACGGUCCAGACUCCUACGGGAGGCAGCAGUGGGGAAUAUUGGACAAUGGGCGAAAGCCUGAUCCAGCCAUGCCGCGUGUGUGAAGAAGGUCUUCGGAUUGUAAAGCACUUUAAGUUGGGAGGAAGGGCAGUAAGUUAAUACCUUGCUGCUUUGACGUUACCAACAGAAUAAGCACCGGCUAACUUCGUG
rnacentral:rRNA from 1 species